rnacentral:sRNA from 1 species
AGUUCGCUGUCGCUCGUGUGAAGUGAAAAUCCUUGUAAGCUGGGGUUCAGCUUACAAGAUUGCAACGGAAAGCGGGAACAAUA